rnacentral:piRNA from 1 species
UGAUGUAACAGAUCCUUGACAGGAAAUCCC